rnacentral:rRNA from 1 species
AAUAGAUACCCAGGUAGUCCACGCCGUAAACGAUGGGUGCUAAGUGUUAGAGGGUUUCCGCCCUUUAGUGCUGCAGCUAACGCAUUAAGCACUCCGCCUGGGGAGUACGGCCGCAAGGCUGAAACUCAAAGGAAUUGACGGGGGCCCGCACAAGCGGUGGAGCAUGUGGUUUAAUUCGAAGCAACGCGAAGAACCUUACCAGGUCUUGACAUCCUCUGCCAACCCUAGAGAUAGGGCGUUCCCCUUCGGGGGACAGAGUGACAGGUGGUGCAUGGUUGUCGUCAGCUCGUGUCGUGAGAUGUUGGGUUAAGUCCCGCAACGAGCGCAACCCUUGAUCUUAGUUGCCAGCAUUCAGUUGGGCACUCUAAGGUGACUGCCGGUGACAAACCGGAGGAAGGUGGGGAUGACGUCAAAUCAUCAUGCCCCUUAUGACCUGGGCUACACACGUGCUACAAUGGAUGGUACAAAGAGCUGCGAACCCGCGAGGGUAAGCGAAUCUCAUAAAGCCAUUCUCAGUUCGGAUUGUAGG